rnacentral:rRNA from 1 species
GACGAACGCUGGCGGCGUGCUUAACACAUGCAAGUCGAACGAUGAAGCUGGAGCUUGCUCCGGUGGAUUAGUGGCGAACGGGUGAGUAACACGUGAGUAAUCUGCCCUCGACUCUGGGAUAACUGCGGGAAACUGUAGCUAAUACCGGAUACGACACCUUCGGGCAUCCGAUGGGUGUGGAAAGAAUUUCGGUCAAGGAUGAACUCGCGGCCUAUCAGCUAGUUGGUGAGGUAAUGGCUCACCAAGGCGACGACGGGUAGCCGGCCUGAGAGGGUGACCGGCCACACGGGGACUGAGACACGGCCCAGACUCCUACGGGAGGCAGCAGUGGGGAAUAUUGCACAAUGGGCGAAAGCCUGAUGCAGCAACGCCGCGUGAGGGAUGAAGGCCUUCGGGUUGUAAACCUCUUUUAGUUGGGAAGAAGCGAAAGCGACGGUACCAACAGAAAAAGCACCGGCUAACUACGUGCCAGCAGCCGCCGUAA